rnacentral:rRNA from 1 species
CCUACGGGAGGCAGCAGUAGGGAAUCUUCGGCAAUGGACGAAAGUCUGACCGAGCAACGCCGCGGGAGUGAAGAAGGUUUUCGGAUCGUAAAACUCUGUUGUUAGAGAAGAACAAGUAGGAGAGUAACUGCUCUUACCUUGACGGUAUCUAACCAGAAAGCCACGGCUAACUACGUGCCAGCAGCCGCGGUAAUACGUAGGUGGGAAGCGUUGUCCGGAUUUAUUGGGCGUAAAGCGAGCGCAGGCGGUCUUUUAAGUCUGAUGUGAAAGCGCUCGGCUCAACCGAGGAAGGUCAUUGGAAACUGGAGGACUUGGGUGCAGAAGAGGAGAGUGGAAUUCCAAGUGUAGCGGUGAAAUGCGUAGAUAUAUGGAGGAACACCAGUGGCGAAGGCGACUCUCUGGUCUGUAACUGACGCUGAGGCUCGAAAGCGUGGGGAGCAAACAGGAUUAGAUACCCGCGUAGUC